CGGCGUGCUUAACACAUGCAAGCCGAACGUUCUAACAUAUGUUGGAAAGUGGCGGACGGGUGAGUAAUAUGUAAGAAUUGACAUUUAGGUUGGGGAUAACAAUCGGAAACGUUUGCUAAUACCCAAUACGGCUACUAAGUUAAAGUUUUUCGCCUAGAUACAAGCUUGCAUCUGAUUAGUUUGUUGGUGGGGUAAUGGCUUACCAAGACUAUGAUCAGUAACUGGUCUUAGUGGAUGAUCAGUCACACGAGAAUUGAGAUACGGAAUCGACUCCUACGGGAGGCAGCAGUGGGGAAUUUUCCGCAAUGGGUGAAAGCUUGACGGAGCAACGCCGCGUGGAGGAUGAAGGUUUUAGGAUUGUAAACUCCUUUUCUCAAAGAAAAAUCGAUGAUAGUAUUUGAGGUAAAAAGCACCGGCUAACUUUGUGCCAGCAGCCGCGGUAAUACAAGGGGUGCAAGCGUUAUCCGGAAUUAUUGGGCGUAAAGAGUUUGUAGGUGGUUUAAAAAGUUUAAUGUUAAAAUUUAGGGCUUAACCUUGAAAAAGCGUUAAAAACUUUUAAACUUGAGUAUGAUAGGGGUAAAGGGAAUUUUCAGUGUAGCGAUGAAAUGCUUUGAUAUUGAAAAGAACACCAGCGGCGAAAGCGCUUUACUAGGUCAAUAACUGACGCUGAGAAACGAAAGCUAGGGUAGCGAAAAGGAUUAGAUACCCUUGUAGUCUUAGCCGUAAACUAUGGGUACUAAGUUAUGCUUUAUAGCAUUUCUAAAGUUAACACGUUAAGUACCCCGCCUGGGGAGUAUGCUCGCACGAGUGAAACUCAAAGGAAUUGACGGGGGCCCGCACAAGCGGUGGAGCAUGCGGUUUAAUUCGAUGAUACACGAAGAACCUUACCAGGAUGAGAUAUGUUAGGAAAAUUUUUGAAAGAAAGUUGUGCCUUCGGGAACCUAAACACAGCUGGUGCAUGGCUGUCGUCAGCUCGUGUCGUGAGAUGUUGGGUUAAGUCCCGCAACGAGCGUAACCCUUAUUUUUAGUUAUUAAGUAAAAUUCUAAAAAGCCUGCUAAUUAUAAAUUAGAGGAAGGUGAGGAUGACGUCAAGUCCUGCAUGCCCGUUCGGUCCUGGGCUACACGCGUGCUACAAUGGGUAAGACAAUAAGUUGCGAAGUUGUGAAACUCAGCUAAUCUUUAAACUUAUCCUCAGUUCGGAUGGGAGACUGCAACUCGUCUCCCUGAAGUUGGAAUCGCUAGUAAUCGCCGGUCAGCUAUACGGUGGUGAAUCCGUUCCCGGGCCUUGUACACACCGCCCGUCACACUAAGAAAGUUGGCCUUGCUUGAAUAUAUUAUUCUAACCUUAUUGGAGGGAGAUAUCUAAGGCCGGGUUUAUAAUUUUAGUGAAGUCGUAACAAGGUA
rnacentral:rRNA from 1 species